rnacentral:tRNA from 1 species
GGGCGUUUGGUCUAGGGGUAUGAUUUCCCCUUCGCAGAGUACGUGAUUCAUCACGUGAUCUCAAAUGGGGAAGGUCAUGGGUUCAAUUCCCAUAAUGUCCA